rnacentral:rRNA from 1 species
AUGCUCGUCCUGCAAGGCAUUCAGAAAUCGACUCCAACGGCAGCCUUCGAGGGCGUCUUCACCUUGUGCCCGCAGCUGCAGAUGCUACACCUCAGGUCCUGCGGCUGCCCCUGGGACACGGACCUGUUGGUGGACGCCCCCAGCUCGCAGAUCAGGGAGCUCGUCCUUGACAAGUGCAGGUUCCGACAUGUGCGGAUGAGGACCCUUCCCAGUCUCGAGAGCCUAGCCUCCAUGGACACCAUGCUACACUUUGAGUCCGCUUCAUUUCCCUGCCUCAGGCAAUGCAAACACACUGCUAGGAUUGGUACCAUUCUUAGACCGCUAGGACGUCGGAGUGAAUACAUUGGGCAUCAGUGUGAGCUUGGCUCGUUUCUUGGAUGCACUUCGGACAUAACCAACCUGGUCAUCCGGUUCACGGGACCUAGACGAUGGAUCAUGCUGGCAUCUAGCUCAUCGUCCUUGUUGCCCAAGCUGAGGAAGCUGCUUGUCGCCGAUGUGCCUUCCUCCUGGGAUGUCUCGUGGCCCCGUCUCCUCCUCGAGAUGGCGCCAUCCCUCGAGAUCCUUCACAUCCACAUUGCUCCUUGCAAGGAGAAGCCCGGAGAUUUAAUAUCCUGGCAGCCGACCAAGCUUCGGCGGCAUCACUUGAAACAGUUUGUGGUGUCUGGUUUUGAGGGAACAAAGAGGCAGAUUUACCUUGUCAGGUUUGUCAUUGGAGCAUCGACGGCCUUACGCCGUGUAGCCUUGUUCAAGAAUGGGCAUGCUCAGGAGAAGGGGCACUGGGACUGGGAGAUGGUAACGGAGCAGCACUCAUGGACCGACGAGGAGAAGGACACUAUGCGGAAGGAGAUUAUGGAUGGGGUUUCUUUCUCCAGCCCGCCUGCUCGAUUGGUUUUCGGUUGA